rnacentral:rRNA from 1 species
ACCUGCCGAUGACUCGGGGAUAGCCUUUCGAAAGAAAGAUUAAUACCCGAUGGCAUAGUUCUUCCGCAUGGUAGAACUAUUAAAGAAUUUCGGUCAUCGAUGGGGAUGCGUUCCAUUAGGUUGUUGGCGGGGUAACGGCCCACCAAGCCUUCGAUGGAUAGGGGUUCUGAGAGGAAGGUCCCCCACAUUGGAACUGAGACACGGUCCAAACUCCUACGGGAGGCAGCAGUGAGGAAUAUUGGUCAAUGGACGAGAGUCUGAACCAGCCAAGUAGCGUGAAGGAUGACUGCCCUAUGGGUUGUAAACUUCUUUUAUACGGGAAUAAAGUGAGGCACGUGUGCCUUUUUGUAUGUACCGUAUGAAUAAGGAUCGGCUAACUCCGUGCCAGCAGCCGCGGUAAUACGGAGGAUCCGAGCGUUAUCCGGAUUUAUUGGGUUUAAAGGGAGCGUAGGCGGACGCUUAAGUCAGUUGUGAAAGUUUGCGGCUCAACCGUAAAAUUGCAGUUGAUACUGGGUGUCUUGAGUACAGUAGAGGCAGGCGGAAUUCGUGGUGUAGCGGUGAAAUGCUUAGAUAUCACGAAGAACUCCGAUUGCGAAGGCAGCUUGCUGGACUGUAACUGACGCUGAUGCUCGAAAGUGUGGGUAUCAAACAGGAUUAGAUACCCUGGUAGUCCACACAGUAAACGAUGAAUACUCGCUGUUUGCGAUAUACAGUAAGCGGCCAAGCGAAAGCGUUAAGUAUUCCACCUGGGGAGUA